GGGCCGCCGCCGCGCCCGCCCCAGAGGUCGUUUCCCCUGCAGUUUCCAGUAAGUGACGGUCCCAGUCGGAGCUGCGGCUAGAAAGGGGCCGCGCUGGCAUUUCUUCGGCAACCCUCCCCAUCCCUCCUUUUAAGUCCCUUUCCCGCCUCCGGGUCACUCCUGGUGUGUCCGCCACCCCUGCCAGCGCUUGAGCUUUCCCCAGAAGAUGCGUCUUCUCUCUUGAGCGCAUCGUUAAUCUUAAACGGCCGCUGACCUCCUGUCUGUACGUGGGAGGGUGUGUUUGGCCCGACGCUCGUUCUCACCCUUCCUCGUGCUGCCAGGAUGACGGCCCCGCGCUCACAGUCCGCGGGAAGGCGCCCAACCUCCGCUGCUGCCCGCACCUGCCCUUUCCUGCUUCAGAAUCUUCCCUCUUCUAACGAAACUCUGGCAAGGACCAGCUCUCUCAGGGCAGCACCUCUCUUCCCGUCUAAAGCCCCUUCUCAUUAAAAAAUCGCAGCAACGAACAAAAGAAUGUCUUAAGACACCGACCUAAGUGUUUUACACUCCUAUUUACUCAUGGCAGCAAUCCUGAAGGAGAGUCAAAUGAGAAAACUGAGGCCCAGAAAAGUUAAAGAAUUUGCUUGAGACAUGGCAGGCAGGCAGGUUUUAUAGACAUGGACAAGAAGUCUGCACACAGAAGUUCUGAGGAUGCCAGGACCGGCAAAAGUGGAGGUAAGAAUCUUACUUGCUUUAAGAACUUUUGAGUAACUUAAUGUACGUUUCAUAAACCAUUUUGUUUCUCUCUCACUUGUGGCUAAUAUUUGAGAGAAUAAUCGUGUUGCGCUUUGUAUCAAUCUAAGGUAAACACAAACAAAAGAAAAGAGAAAAGCAAAACCAAGAACACCACCGAUCCCGACAUAGGUCAACAUCUCAUUCUUCAGAUGACUGUGUGUUUCCUUCUUCUGUAUCAUCUUCAGGAAGCCACACGGAUUCAAGUCUAGAAGGUGCUGCCAAGGGAAGAAUUAAGAGAAAGAGAGGAAAGAAAAGGAGUAAACGGAGAAAAGAAAGAAAGGUAACUGGGGAUAAUUUAAUACAGGAAGAAAAUUUAGCUAUCCGAGUAUUCCGCGCUUUCUUGCUAAUAAAGGAAAACAGCCUACACGGGACUUUGCAGAGCUGGAAGGAACGAGUGGUGAACAUGCCGUUAACAUGGAGCUAAUCGAAUAGUAUCCUUUUUCUUUUCAAAUACUGUAAUCGAAGUUUCACCUUCUCAGGUGUCAGUUACCUGAAGCACACUGUGGUCCGAACCUACUAAAUGGAAGAAUUCCAAAGAUAGACCAGUCGUAAGUUUUCACUUUUGUCCAUUCUGAGUAGUGUGAUAAAACCUCACGCCAUCCUACUCCGUCCCACUCUGGAUGGGAAUCAUCUUUGUCCAGCAUAUCCACGCUAUAUAUGCUACCCACCCCGGGUCACCUAGUAGCCAUCUCCGUUAUUGGAUCAUCAGCUGUCACAGGACUGUAGUUCUUGUGGUCAGGUACCCUUAUUUUACUUAAAAUGGCUCCAAAGCCAAAGAGUAGUGAUGCUGGCAAUUUGGAUAUUCUCUUACUGUGGCUGAUUU
rnacentral:lncRNA from 1 species